rnacentral:tRNA from 1 species
GCCUGGCUAGCUCAGUCAGUAGAGCAUGAGACUCUUAAUCUCAGUGUCCUGGGUUCGUACCCCACCUUGGACA